GGGAUGAGCUCAAAUUUAAAAUCUGGCGUCUUUCAGGCGUCCGAGUUGUAAUCUAUAGAGGCGUUUUCCGCGCCGGACCGCGUCCAAGUCUCUUGGAAUAGAGUAUCAAAGAGGGUGACAAUCCCGUACUUGACGCGACAACCGGUGCUCUGUGAUACGUUCUCAAUGAGUCGAGUUGUUUGGGAAUGCAGCUCUAAAUGGGUGGUAAAUUCCAUCUAAGGCUAAAUAUUGGCGAGAGACCGAUAGCGAACAAGUACCGUGAGGGAAAGAUGAAAAGCACUUUGGAAAGAGAGUUAAACAGCACGUGAAAUUGUUAAAAGGGAAACGAUUGAAGUCAGUCGUGUGAAAGGUAUUCAGCCGUCUCUGGCGGUGUAUUUGCCUUUCACGGGUCAACAUCAGUUUGAUCCGGUAGAAAAAGGCGGGAGGAAGGUGGCACCCUCGGGUGUGUUAUAGCCUCCUGUCAUAUGUGCCGGACCAGACUGAGGAACGCAGCUUGCCGCAAGGCCGGGGUUCGCCCACGUGCA
rnacentral:rRNA from 1 species